UUAUCUAGAGGUAUCAAAAUGUUUUUUAGCAAAAAUAAAGCUCUCUGAAAGAAACUGUAGCCUCAAGGGUCUCCCUUAGGGAAAGAAAUGCAUCUUUAUUUUUCUAAAUAACUGAAUAAUGAUAUCUUUUGAUGCAGAACUUGCCUUUUUUAAAUUAAUGCUAUUUUCAUACAGGAAAAUAUGACUGCAUUUGUAUUUUGUAGUUUGGAAGUUACAACUAGAGAAUGAGAGAUUUACAAAUAACCUCAUUUGUUUACUGUACUGCUCCCAAAGUUUUUCUUUGCAUAAUUAAAAUUACAUGCAGCUACAAAUCAUGUUGUUUACCUCUGCAGUCUAAUGCAGGAUACAUUGCCUCACCACCCCACAGAGAAGCUCAAAUGUUCAAAAUAGCAGUGCCAGAAAACUAUAUAUGUGUAGAAUAAAUACCCAAAUACAACAUUAAGACAAGGAACUGUACCCUGACUGUGAACCAGAUGUUAAAAACCAAUUAGUUUAACUUAAAUGACUAGUGGUUCAGCGACUAACAAGAUUUACAUUAGAAUAUAUUACUUGCUUUGAAGGAGUUUGUGAAAGUAUAAGGUCUGCCUGAGUGUGAGUAUGUAUUAGUUAUGAAGAUUAUUUUUUUUUGUUUUCCCUUUUCAUAUUCUCUGUUUUGUGUGAGCCCAUGUGGGUGACUGGAGACAUACAUAAGCCCUAUUUCCAGUAUUUCUGAAUCUUCAGGUGCCAGCAAGGGUCUCUUCAGAAGAUAUACAGCUGCAAUAAAGCAUAGCUGGACUGGGGCUAACAGCUGCCUCUGUGCAUGUUCUCUGCUUUGUGUCUGCUUAGCUCUGAGUGGGAACAGAGUGGAAGGAAAGAGGAGAGCAAGGCUGUUUGUUCCCACCUGUGGAGAGGUGCCAUGCUUUUCCUAAGGCUGUUCCUCCUUACUUUCAUGCAUUGCUGCAUAUUUCAGGCUGCAGAAAAAGGGCAAGCAUCAAGCUUUACAAAUUCUUUGCGUUUUAAUUGUUCAUUUCCAUUAUCUGGCCCAGACUUCCACUCAUUCACAUCUCUGCUUGACUGGUUCCAAGAGGUUUGCAUUCACCUCCAGAAAGCAAAAGAGGCGACAUCUAAUUCACAUGGUGGAAAUUACUUAGUAAACAGAAUGGACUAAGCUGAUGUGGAAUACAGCCAAAAUACUAUAGAAGAUGCCAUUUUUAUUCAAGAGAAGCCAAUAGAUGUUUGCAAGAUAAAAAAGUUAAGGACAAAAGUUUUACACCCAUAAGACACCCACUCCACUUGCAUGCAUGUUCCUUAUUACUGGCAUUUUUUUGUUCAUAUAUCAAAACACUGAGGGUUGAUUUAAUAGAAACAGAGUUACUAAAUUAUACACUUACUUGUUAGUUAAAUAUUUUAUUACUUCAUAAACAUUUUCUUCAAGUGAAAAAUGCCCAUCCACUCCUAUUCAAACAUGCAAUCUCUCUUAGGGGAAAAUUUAUUCAGAGGCUCUGUCUCAUAGUAAUGGUUUUCUAAGUGACAGUGGCUGGCUGGGCAUUUAUGUGCUCUCGUUCUGAGCUACACUAAGAUAUUUUGUGGUUAAUUUCCCUGCUCAGGGAAUAUUUGAGAUAUGGGGGUAGUUUGAAAUGCUUGUUUGGAUGAGAUGAAGAAUGAUCUCAGAAGUUACCAGAAAGAAGGGGCUUAUUGAAAUGGGAGGUAAGAGAGGACGUGUCCAGUAUGGUGACGAAGGAAUUACACAUUAGCUCAUAUAAAUAAUAAUAGCAGGUGUGGGUAAUUGCACUUUAGCAUACCAUGUUUGAAAGCAGUUAAGUUGUAGUUUCUUAGCAACUGCUGCUGACAGCCACGUUUUAAGUGGCCAAGGCUUUCAAAUUAGACAACACCCUCAGUCUGCUAUACAGCAGCAUUAAAUAGAGGGAAACACUAAAGCACAAGUGUUCCUACUCUGUAAACAAAACACAGCAGAGGGCCAGAGCUGCAGAAGAGGUGAUGGAAUAGAAAAAGCAGAAAUUACAUCUACCUUUCUGGAUAAGCCUUUUCAGGAACAACUGCUAGGGAGAGUAUGUAUGGAGAAAGGCCAUGACAUACUAAAUCGAAUGGGUAUGCCUUAGGGAAUGUUGACAGGGAGAUAAUUUGCAAGUAGGUAACUUUGUUAUUAUGUUGGCACAUUUUGGUCUUUCUUCUUAUAUAUUUGUCAUAUAAAAUCUACCUGUCUGUAUAUAAAGGUGCACAUAAAGGAUUUUAUGUUAAUGAGUAGAUCUGUGUUUAGUGUGAGAUGUCAAUGUUAUAAUCAAUGUUCAUGACUUUGAAACAUGCUAUCAACUUAAUGUUGUAUAAGAACAUUUCCUGGAAGAAAUCUGUGAUAAAGCCAACCAAGAAGAGUUGGAGUGUUAAGGAGCCUAAAGGGUUCAUCCUUUUUGCUAAUUGAUGAAAAUUUAAAUUUGGCUGACUCAUUAUUUUCAAUUCCUUAUGGAUGCUCCACAGGAAGAUUUUUCUGAUUGUUAAUACUAUCCCCAGUUAGCUAGGAUCUAUCCUAGCAGUCAGUAACAUGCUCUUAAUUCCAAGAGCCAUCAAGAAGUUGACUAUAAUUUUUUUCCUCUUUUGAAAUCAGAAUAUUUUCUGGUAAUACCCAGGCUUGGGUAGUUCAUUCUGGGUAAAAGUUCUCCAACCCAGGGUGGAAAAGCUAAGGUAGUAAUUAAGGCAUAUCAUGGAUUAACAAGUUUCAAAUUCUGGAACAUUGCUCUAACUUUUAGCUUAUGAUUUUGAUAAGUAGGAAUGUCAACCUGUCUCUUACACAAAUGGUAUAGUAUGUUGUGCCCUUGUUCUGGCUCCAUGAAAUUCUUUUCACUCUUGUAAGGUAAAACUUAUGUAUGCAAAAGACGAGUGGAAUUCUACAGGUUUUAAAACACUUUAGUUAUUUUCCCAUUAUCUUCCAAGUGCAAAGCACAUUUCUCUAGCCUGUCUUUCUUUAACAGAUAUAUAAGAAGAUGUUUCUGGAAAGGACCUGUUCUAACUUGACCUUUCACUGUGUCCUUCAUGAAGACAGUGUAGUGUUUACAGUGAGAUGAGACUAUACAAAAUAUAUGCAGUCCCGAAGACAUCAAUGGUGUUCAUAUAAUUUUCCAACAGAAUUACUGAAUUACAAAUAUGAGUGGACUGUGAUAUACUGAACCCAGAUUUUCAAAAAUGUCGUGGAUUCAAAGCACUUUGGAACUGAUCAACAUAAUUUUGGAUAUCCAGCUUACGGAUUGCCAUCUGAAAUCUGAAGAUGGUUCCACACACCAUUUUUCUUACAGAAAGCCAGACUUAGUUCCAAACAAAGCUGCCACCCUUUUCUGUGUUCCUUUUUUUACCUAGCUGAACUAGGAAAAGUAGGCUUGUAUUAUUAAUAAUGAAUUGUUACAGAUACUGCUAUUUCCACCCCCCCCCCACACUGGGGAAUAGGAAUUUAUUUCUUUCAACAUUUUUAUUAAAAAUUAUUGAUACCAUCUUUCUUUACUCUGUAGCUAUUUCUCAGUUAUUUUUUGUAUGAUUCAAGCUUAUUUUUCUGAGUGAUAUUCAGGAAUCACUUCCAUGAUUGCAUGUCCUGUUCACUUAGGCCAUAUAGGUUUUUAGAGCUGCCUUCAUUGGCUGAUGGCAGGGCACCUAUCCUGUAAAUGUACAUGGCUUUUUCAGUUGAGAAGAGAUAAUGCUGUCUCUGCAGAGCUUCUAUCUAUUACUCCCAGUUCAAUCACUGACACUUCAUUUGUCUUUUAUUGUCUGUAGCCUGUGACUAAAAUGCAGCAGUGACUCACUAUUAUAUAAAACAGGUCCAUAUUUUUCUUUUUAACUUUAUGCUUAUUUUCAGAGUAUGGGCGUGCCAGCUCAAAUGUGCACGUGGCAUCAUUGGGAAAGAAUUUGGAGGAAGAAUAAAAGUAUUCAUUCCUUUCACCAGAAAUUCCACCUAUUUAAAGAUUUUAAAGGAGGCAGAUGGGAAAUGCCUAAAAAAGUAGAAACCCAGGGGAAGCAGAAAAAGAGCAGGUUGGAAUGGACCAUCUGUGAAAACUUUCUGACUAUCACAUUGGUGUAAAAUCUGCUGAGCCCAUGUGGAACUUCUGAGGGAAAAAAAUGAGUGCUUCUGCUCUGAAACCCAUGCAUCUCCCACCUGGCAUAAGCAAAAAUCUUUGUUAAGUUUUUGGAUCAAAGGACCUUUUCACAGUAAUUCCCCAAAUGGAGUUUUUCUGCCGAGCACUGCAUUACCGUGUAGUAAUACCACAAGAGACCACUGAGAGGGGAUCUCUACAAGUAUCCAAAGGAGGCUGCCAAGAGGACGGAGCCAGGCUGUUCUCAGUGGCACCCAGCAGUUGGACAGGAGGUCCUGGGCAGAAACUGCUGCACAGGAAAUUCCACCUGAACAUGAGGAAGAACUUCUUUACUGUGCAGGUGACCAAGCGCUGGAUCAGAUUGACCAGAGAAGUUGUGGAGUCUCCCUCACUGGAGAUAUUCAAGAUCUAUCUGGACUCAGUGCUGUGCCCUGUGCUCUAGGAAGGCCCUGCUUGGUGGUUGGACCAGAUGACCAACUGUGGUCUCUUUCAACCUCAUCCGUUCUGUGACUCUGUGAACACAAAGAAGAAAAUGUUCCAACUAUAAAUUACAUAGAUCAGCCUCAUGGAUACCCUGUUCUUAAUAUUACAUCUGGAAGCUAUUAAAGAAAAUGGAUUUCUCUUCAGGGAUGUUUUAUUGACAAUAAUUUGGACAGAUUUUAAAAUGUUUCCCUACAGCUGCUAGCACCAGCCAAGUUUUUGUGUGAAAAUAACUGGGUUUUUAAAAUAUAGAUGUGUAUCUGUGCUCAGGAUUAAUCUUUUUAGAGAACAAAAAUACUUGGAAACCCUUACAAAUAAGAGCUCAAUCAAAUGGGAAGUAGGCACCAGAUUGCCUCCUUCAGAAUGCUUCUAUAUAUGGAUGAAUACCUCUUCUUUAAUGAGUUUAAGUUCCUUGAAAACUUCAUGCUUGAAUGUGAGUUCUCUGUUUCUGUUGUGUUUUCAUUUCUAAAAAAUAUUUUUGGGCACAUUGAUUUAUUAUUUUUUUCCCAAAGCUGGUCACUAAUGUUUGGUUAAGAAGUACUGUCACCUCCUCAUUCAGUUCUGGAAGUAGAUUGUUAAAGUAAUGUCCUUAGAAGUUCAGAAAUAUUGUUUGUACCUCUUCUUUACCUAAACCCUAGCUGGCCUCUUAGGGGCUUAAUUUGAAUAAUUCUCUCACUAGUAAUGUCAAAUUUAAAAGGAAUUUAUAUAUGUCCAUGGAGGUUCUUUAGAGGGAAAGCCUAAUUUCCAAGAUACACAAACAUUCCCAGUGCUGUUUGAACCAGGCUAAUUAUGUGUGGGACAGAAAUGGUUUGGAUCUUGAAAAUGAAGGAGGAAUUAUUUGAAGUUUUGGUGAAGCAUCUGUAACUAAGGUGAAACUAAGAGCUUAAAUAGGAAGGCAAAAUGCUAAUGCCCUGUGAAAAAGAAUUAAUUUGAAAGUUUUGCUUUUUGUUCAAUAGGCAUAUAUAUGCCACCAACAGACAGGAAAAACAUGGAUCAAAAAGACGCAUAGCAAAAUGUACCUUCUGGGAACUAGUAAGAGUCACGGCUAUAUUAAAAUCCUAUCAAGCAAAGAAAGUGUGCUCCACACCACACAGACAACAAAUCAGAGGCUGGUGGCAAGGCAGAAGCAAUGCAUUCUUCAGGCACAGGCAGUGCAUUAAAAUGAUUACACUUGGACAAGCUGAGCUACUGCAUUCAGAACAAAUGCACUUCCAGUGUUAGCAAGCAAGACACAAACCCAGAUGAUUGUUUCUAAAUAAGCUGUGGUACCACUGUGUAUUCUGGCACAUGCCAAUUUUUCUGGUAGUGUUGAGCAUGGCAUGAAAAUGAGUUAUAUGAGUAUCAACAACAUAGAACAAGAUAACUGGAAUUCCAGGAAUCAGCAACAGGCAGGUAAGAGGCAAUGCUGUUCAACUGGUUGAAAAGUAGGACAUGAGAACUGUAGGGAUGGCUGCCCUUCUGCUCUUGCAAAUUUAUUUGCUGCUUCCUCUAAAAAGUUUCAGCAGAAUACAUAGUUUGGUACAUAUGAAACAUAAAGCAAGUUUCCCAGAAAUCCAGAUAUGAAUAAUCUCUUUACAUAUUCUCAAGAGGAAGAAAUUUUUUAAUAUUUUAGUUUAAAAUAAUGCAUUAAGAUUCCACAAAUGAAAGUUCUGGUGUUACUUGGAGUAUGUGAAAACCGAGCACUUAAUAAAAACAAACGCACAAGAAGGCUUUACCUGCCCCCACACAGUUAUGCACAAUGACCAGAAAAGCUCCCCAAAACUGCAGUGUAGAGCACAAAGGUUUACACAUAAGGUAGAUGACAAGCAAAGCCGUGAUAGGAGACAAAGUCAUAUCUAGAGAUGAAAACUAAAUGACGGAAAUAUGAAUGUCUUACCAAAUGGAAAACAAUUAUGUAGAAUCUUUGAAAAGGAAAUGAUGGUUUAGUGACAUCUAGUGAUGUUAAUUCUUGUCUAGAUAUUUCCAUCAAAAUAGCACAUGAAAUAUUUGUUUGGGAUAAUCCAUUUUGGACUCUAAAGGAAAAUAUUGUUUGUGCAUAUGUUCAGAUUUUUGCUGGGAAAAUCCAAAUUACGUAUAUAAUUUUGGGGUUCAACAAUUUAAAAGUCACUUGAAAUUAAAAGUGAACUAUAAGCAAAUUUGGUUCAUCCUGGAAUAAUGGAAUUGUAUAAAAAUCAGCAAAGCAAAAUGUAGGCAAAUAAAAAGAUUAAAAAUGUAA